rnacentral:rRNA from 1 species
CAUGCCUUACACAUGCAAGUCGAACGGCAGCACGGGGGCAACCCUGGUGGCGAGUGGCGAACGGGUGAGUAAUACAUCGGAACGUGUCCUGUAGUGGGGGAUAGCCCGGCGAAAGCCGGAUUAAUACCGCAUACGCUCUGCGGAGGAAAGCGGGGGAUCCUUCGGGACCUCGCGCUACAGGGGCGGCCGAUGGCAGAUUAGCUAGUUGGUGGGGUAAAGGCCUACCAAGGCGACGAUCUGUAGCUGGUCUGAGAGGACGACCAGCCACACUGGGACUGAGACACGGCCCAGACUCCUACGGGAGGCAGCAGUGGGGAAUUUUGGACAAUGGGCGCAAGCCUGAUCCAGCAAUGCCGCGUGUGUGAAGAAGGCCUUCGGGUUGUAAAGCACUUUUGUCCGGAAAGAAAACCUCGUGGUUAAUACCCGUGGGGGAUGACGGUACCGGAAGAAUAAGCACCGGC